CUCUCAACUCUAGCCCUUCUUGUUGUUUGGGUUCAACUACAUGCAUUGCAUGCCACAAUAAUGGCUAGCAUUUAUUGUUUACUGUGUGGAAGACGCUGUAUGGAACAUGUUACCUUUAAUCCCCAGGAAAGCUGUGCAAGGCGGGCAUUAUCCACGUUUUACCCAGAAGGAUCCUGAAGCUCACAGAGGUUAUGUAGCCUGCCUAAGGUUACCCAGCUAGCAACUGGCAAAGCUAGGAGUUGCUGCAGAAUAGCAAGUCUAUCACUCACAAUGGCCACAAAUCAGGACAAAUGAUCAUUACAAACAACCCAUGUAGACAGUUUUCCAUCGUAGGGCAGUGAUUUUUGAGUCCAUAGAUGGGCCAGUAGGAAGUCUAUACUGAAAUCAAUGUUGUGCCUGAUACUGAGAGGAAUAAAGUCAAUAGGAAGGGGCAAUCAGAAAGCUUUGGCUGAAAAGAAUUAUUUAAACCACUGGAGAAAA